GAUGAACGCUGACAGAAUGCUUAACGCAUGCAAGUCUACUUGAACUUCGGUUUGGGUGGCGGACGGGUGAGUAACGCGUAAAGAACUUGCCUCACAGUUAGGGACAACAUUUGGAAACGAAUGCCAAUACCUGAUAUUAUGAUUUUAGGGCAUCCUAAGAUUAUGAAAGCUAUAUGCGCUGUGAGAGAGCUUUGCGUCCCAUUAGCUAGUUGGAGAGGUAACGGCUCACCAAGGCGAUGAUGGGUAGCCGGCCUGAGAGGGUGAACGGCCACAAGGGGACUGAGACACGGCCCUUACUCCUACGGGAGGCAGCAGUGGGGAAUAUUGGACAAUGGACCAAAAGUCUGAUCCAGCAAUUCUGUGUGCACGAUGACGUUUUUCGGAAUGUAAAGUGCUUUCAGUUGGGAAGAAAAAAAUGACGGUACCAACAGAAGAAGUGACGGCUAAAUACGUGCCAGCAGCCGCGGUAAUACGUAUGUCACAAGCGUUAUCCGGAUUUAUUGGGCGUAAAGCGCGUCUAGGUGGUUAUGUAAGUCUGAUGUGAAAAUGCAGGGCUCAACUCUGUAUUGCGUUGGAAACUGCAUGACUAGAGUACUGGAGAGGUAAGCGGAACUACAAGUGUAGAGGUGAAAUUCGUAGAUAUUUGUAGGAAUGCCGAUGGGGAAGCCAGCUUACUGGACAGAUACUGACGCUAAGCGCGAAAGCGUGGGUAGCAAACAGG
rnacentral:rRNA from 1 species